UUUACUGUGUUCCAGCUGCGUGCUUAUAUUUACAUAAAAGAAAGUAUAUAUAAGCUGUCGUAGAAGUUUGGUACGAAAGCCACCCGCGCAUCAACAGUUAAUCAUCAGUUAAUGUCAACAAAUCGCGGUGCCUAAGUAGUCUGCACAUGUUGAAGUUUAUCCCGUAUCGUUGCUGACGUGGAUAAAAUAAAACUAUUUUCCUCGCGUCGAAAAAAUCCACUCAAAUCACAUAAGACCACUGAAAGCGUCGAAAAAACUGAGGAAAACGGCAAAUGGCGGAAAACUCUACCUUGAGUCCAGAAAGCGUGAUACUACAAAGCCAAGAACUAGAGGUGGACCAGGCCAGCUGUUGUCGCCAUUCACGCUGCACGAUCACACUACCGUUGAAGUAUGACUGCUAAAAGAGGUCGUGUUGUAGCAGCUAGCUCAUUUUUCGUCUAAUAUAUCCAUUUUUAAAUUCUAACUACCUAUACAUGCCACCACCAGCAAAGAGAACCAAGGAAAAAACUUCUACUGAGCUAAGUCCUCCAGCAGAUGGGCCUUGGAAAAGAAUUUCAGAAGUUUGCUGAACAAACGGACUUUUUUAAAGCCAAUAUGGCUGAACUGUAGAAUCGCAUCACGACGUUAUUAACAGUGAUAUGUCGGAACUCAUGAAAAGAGUCGAGCGUUUGAAGAGUGAGGUCGCGGAAACUCGGGCCUUGCGAGACCAAGUCAAUCGCCUAAAGUCUGCAUCUGAGUUGUAGCUGUACCAUUUAAUCAAGGCGAAGAUGUGAGGGAUUGUUUCACAUCCUUUGCUUUAACUUUAAAGUUACUCCUACCCCAAGAAUUCGAGAUAUCUUCCGGAUAAAACCCCCUAGAAACGGUCGUUCUGUAGUUGACCCUAUAAUAAUGAUCAAGUUCGAUAGACCUGAAGACAAGGUUAACCCGAUGCGUAACGUGGAUGCACUUCGGCGUGAAACGAAAAGCCAGCUUUCUCUAUGUUACGUUGGUAUAGAUUCGCCCACGCCAAUCUUUCUAAACGAACAGUUGACUAAAACAAACUACGAGAUUUUUAAAGCAGCCAUGCACAUUAAGCGUCGUCGAGCAACAGUCCACUUAAAGAAGACGGGCAGUGAUGAGGUCCUAUACAUUGAGAACAUGAAGGCCCUUAACGACAUUAAUCCUGAUCUGCUAAAAACACCUAAUUUAUUUCGUUAUUGCAGCUCAUAAAUGUUCUAAAUGUUCAUUUUAAGGUACUAUUUGUUCUACUUAUAUUUACUUUCAACUGCAAUUCGUCGUACUCUUGAUAUAUGUCUGUCAUAAGCGCGCAAAGCCUGACUAUUAAGAUCGAUGAGUACCUAUUCGAAAAAUCAAAAGUCGAUAUCAUCGGUGUUUCCGAAACAUCCGAUAUUAGUAGUUCAUAUAUUCGUUUUGCUGACUAUAAUCUGCUUCGUUCUGAUAGAGUAUAUCAUGCCGGUGGUGUUGCUAUUUUUGUCCGUAAACAAUUUAAAUGUAAAGUUUUGUGUCAGCAAACGUCAGAGUGCAAUAGAAUACUUACUUGUAGAAGUACUUGGAACAAAUUCUCAAAACAUUAUUAUUGGCUGGGCCUAUACCCAAAUCUACUUGCCAAUCUGACUGCCCUAACAUGGACUUAUACAAAUUUUGUUAUAAACGGAGAUUUCAACAGUGAUCUUUUAGCUGAAUCUAGUCUCUGCACAGAACUAUUAUCACUUGGAAUUCAGCCAGCAAAUGUCACAGCCUUGUCAAAAUCCUCACAACCCUUGACGCAUUUUUUGGGGAUGACGCAAGUAAAAUCCUUUUAUAUGACAAGGUAUCUGUACAAGUUUACUCGCGGCAUGAUCUUAUAUACAAGACGUAUAGCAUAGAAUUAGGCGCUGAGGAAAACUCCAUAACUUAUCAGGCCUUAAAAGAUAUAAACUAUACGCUACUGGACUCAGAAUUUAACUCUUUUAGCUGGCAAGCAUUGUAUACAAUUCCCGAUGAUGAUUCACAGAUAGAGUUCUUUAACAGUAAUAUUGAGCUUCUAUACAACAAAUAUGUACCUCUCAGGACAAAAAAAAUUAAGCCGAAGAAGAAACCAUGGAUAAGCAUGGAAAUAAAAAAUACUAUGAAUGCGUGUUCAAACUCAACGAUAUUCCGCUAUUCGCACUCCACAUAUGUACAUUGUACAUACAUAGGCACAUCUUCGUUUUCUCCAGCGCACAGUGGGUCAAGGGCUAACAAUAGAUGCUAGUUUCAAACAAGCAAAAAUAAAAACAUAAUUAAAAAAAACCCAAAAUUCUUGCCUAUCUAAGCGCCAGUGUGACCAGACUUCGAUUGGUUCCUAAAUUCCAAUUUAUUUCUUGCCCGAAUCCCUUUCUUACUUGCUUUAUCAGCAAAAUCCGCUCUAAAACAAUUUAUUGCCACAGUCGACUCCCUGACACAGUUUGAGGCCAGUAUAAACGUUUCAGGUGCCUCCACGCCAACUUUAUCCGCCUGUAAAGUCCGUUGCGAUCAUUUCAAUUCCUUCUGGAAAAUGGUAAAAGGAGGAUAUUUCAUAUGAUGCUCCAAAUAAGUUGGUGGUGGUUGGGUUUGAUUAAUUUAAUUUAAUGGAAAUACCAAACAAUGCGUCUUCGCUCUUCGAGGUUCAAAUCUUAACUGUUGUUUAUUUGACAAUUCGGUUAUAAGUUAAUACAGAAUUCGCUGACGGUGCUGUUGGCAUGUGGUGGGGGAACCGUUGAGUAAGCAGGCGAUGCAGAUCACACUUAGCGUCAAUAUACGAACUAGAGUAUACGUUGUUGCCAUGUGUAUUGUUGUCCACAGUUGCACCCUGUCGAUUUCCAUAUUAGUUUUGAUAUCCUCCAUUUUUAGUUCGUGGAUUCCCAAUUCCUUCGUUGUUCUAUUCUUUAAAGUUUCGAUUUUGGGAAUCUCUACCUUUGGAUUUUCUGCAUUCAAGCGUUCUACUGCUACGUAUCGCACGUUUUUGACUGUCACCUUGCAACGCUUAUCAUUAACGCUUAUCAACGCCGAGCCAUCGAUUGUCCUUUUCGGACCGCAGAUUGAUUGUACACUGACUUUUUCGCCGUUAAACACCGCAAUAUGACCUGGCUCCGGCUCGAACAUCUCCUGAAAUCCUGUGUCCUCCGUUUCGCACUCUACCGCUUCUCCGACUAUUACGUUCCUCAGGCACCUUUUACCUCCGUCAUUUAUAUUUUGCUGCUUUCGUGUAAUGACAAAAUUGAUUCUUAAAAUAGGCUAACAAUUUUGGUGUUACUACAAAUUCCGUCUUAUUUAAAGGUAGAGGUAGAAUUCUUUUGAAGAUAUACAUUUAUUUUUCAAAUAUUGGAAGUACCAAUGAGAAUAUAAUAUCUGUCCCAUUCAUAUACAUUAUACAGCCUCCCUUCUCCGGAAGCUUUCCCUAGGCGAGAUCGGAGAACGCGCCCCGGGUGACGGGGUCUGCUUUCCCAUCUUCGGGAAUUCCUGCAGUUGACGGGGUCGAUCCUGACCUUUUCCUUUUCCCCCCUCCUUUAGAACGACCCUAAAGUAGUCUUCGUCCGUUAUCCUGUCUGUCUUGAAAUAGAAACAUUUUCUGUGAAGCGACCUUGGCGUGACCAAGUUUCAUCCCAGCUCUAGUACUACUUUAAAGAAUGGCGCCCGAACAUGGACUAGAUAGGAUAUGUUAAGGAUAAUUCCAUCCAUCGUGGCUAAAAGCACCAUCAGUAAAAAAAUUCGGAGUCGAAAGAAAAAAGGUUAGGGUCGGAAAUCCAGGGAAGCAUCAGUUGGUAGGCCAGUUUUGCUCUUUUAAAAAGCAAGGAAAAUAGUAUGAAGAAGAAACGGGAAAAGGUACAGCCGCGACGUACAGUCAGAUCCGACGACGAGAGCACGUGACACACGAAGCCGAACCGACACGAAGUUACGAACAACCCGACACGAAGUUGCGCUAGAAACAACGACAAAAGUACACGAAGCAAAGAAAAAAAAUAAAAGGACACAAUACAAAGUCGACGCCGCAGCCGCCAUCCGGUACAAAAAAAAAGAAACAUAGUUUUCUAUCCCUGUCGCACACAUGGUUUCUCUUACCAAGUAGGAAGCCCGAAGCCAGCCGACUUCAAGUACAUAAACCGUCGUCCCCACGAAUCGAGAUCAUUCGAUUCCUAUCGCUACGAGAGCGAACAUAAUCUUGCUGCAUCGCUACAAGGACACGCCUCAAGGAUCACUGCGAGGAUACACCAGGACCUGCUGAAUCGCUACAAGGACACGCCUCAAGGAUCACUGCAAGGAUACACCAGGACCUGCUGCAUCGCGACAAGGACACGCCUCAAGGAUAUUAACUAAAUCGCUACCAGGAUCCUAAAGGACGCAACGCUUUAGGGAUACAACCUUCAACUCUCGCUCUGAAAACGCGCAUUCUGAUCCGCCUUCGCGAAACCACAUCAGGAUACGCGUCGAUCACUACUCAUUUUCCUAGGCACGCCUACGAAGCCACCCACCCCGUCGGCAUCCAACGCGGUGAGCCCUCGCUUCCAACGGUAAAAUGGGUGUUACCUGGAUAUCAUAUCGGAAGAAGCACGAACUCGACGCAAUCCUACUCGAGCUUGGCCUCGAACUCACCGGUACGGUCGAGGAGCAACGAUCCCGGCUCUACGCGUUCGUACGGCAACCUGGACUCCCGGACGCGGUCCGGCCACGGCUCGGAGAAAUGGAGCUAAAGUAUGGAAAUUCCCCAUCCGGGGACUCCAAGCCAUCGUCGCCGUUACCUCCGGAUUUCGAGUCGAGCGUCGGCACGGCAUCUACGCACACGAUUGCUCCGGCCGCGGGCCACACCCUAACGGUGCCACGCAAUACGUCGCCAGCACCACGCGGGAUACCAGGAUCACCACGCGGCACAACCUCCCAGUUCGACGCGGCCGUGUGCUCCAUGUUGGUCGACAAAAUGACCAAGUGGGGAUUGUCUUUCGACGGCACGUCAGUCCCGCUCAGCUUCGUUGAACACAUGGAGGAACGGGCGAAUACCUACCGCAUCGACCAGAAAUAUUUGUCCCACGCUAUUGUCGUAGUCUUGACUGGCCGAGCCGAGAGCUGGUUUCGCACCAGUGGACUCCAGGGUCCUGGACAGAGGUCCGUCGGAAAUUUCUGGAUUUCUUUUUACCGCCCAGGUAUUAUCAACGGCUCGACGACGAAAUCCGCUCGCAUUUCCAAGGGGCGAACGAACCGUUCAAGGAACACCUCGUCGAUCUUCGCCUUCAGAUGCGCUGCGCUGGAUUCUCACCAGAAGAAGAGUAGGAGCGUGUGUGUGAAAACAUGCUACCAGAGUUAGAGCUGCAAAAAAAUCGAUGGUACCAUCGAUAUUAUCGAUGGUUGGCCGCCGGUGACCGACUUCGAUAUUUUUCAGACUAUCACGAUAGUUUAUCAAAAAAUUCCCAUCACUUGGAUUUCGAACUAAUAAGAAGGAACGCACAUUUUGCAUACGGAAAAUUUAAUAUACUCGUAUACUAAUUUUCUCUCGUAUUCGACAGAUAUAUUCAAAUUCUUGUGGUUCCGGUGUUGUGGUUCCUUAAAAAUGGAUGACGGUGCAAAAAGUGGAGACGAGGAUGUGGAGGACGUGAAGCAGUCGCUAAAAAAGGUCAACAGACUUGGAAGUUCGGUGUGGGAUCUCUUUGAGAAGGGCAAAGAUAAAAAGACAGCCAAACGCCGUAUAUGCAAGAAGGUGUACAAGACAAGUGGAAACACCAGCAACCUUGCUGAUCAUCUCAAGAGAUUCCACCCGACCCAAAAUCAGUAUCAGCCAGCACAAGCGACCGUCAAAAUUUUUUUUACAAAUGAUGAGUACGACAGCAAGUCUUUGCGAAAAGCAAGCCUUGACACGGCGUUGAUGCAGAUGAUUGCAAAGGAUAUUCAACCGUUUUCUAUUGUAGAUGACCAAGGGUUUAGGAACUUCGUGAAAGUGUUGGAUCCGCGCUGUACUUUGCCGUGACGCACGACUUUGCAAAACGUACAACUGCAAAACAUUUACUCGGAGAUGACUGUAAAACUGCAGACCAUUCUUGUUAAUGUCGAUCAGUGCGCAAUUACAAUGGACUGCUGGACAAGCAAGGCCAACACAGGUUAUUUGACCAUUACGGUGCACUUCAUUGACGAAAAGUUCCAGCUGAGAUCGGCAGUGUUGUCAACGCAGCCACUCCUAUGUGCAACAAACCAUUCUGCUGACAACAUCGCAUCAUCAUUGCGCGCAGAACUGAUUAACUGGAAUCUGUUGCCAAAAGUUUGCGCCAUAUUAUCAAAUAAUGCUAGCAGCAUGAUAAAGGCAUGUGAGCUGCUCGAAAAGAGACAUCUGCCGUGCUAUGCGCAUUGCCUAAACCUCGUUGCACAGAACUCGCUUUCUAUAAAAUCAAUUCAAACUAUUUUGACUAAAUGCAAACGUGUCACAUUUUUCAAAUUCAGCUCUAUCGCCUACGAGAAGUUUAAGAAAGCGUAAGGAGUCGACAAUCCGUACAGCUUAAUUCAAGAGGUAUGUACCCGCUGGAACAGCGCGUUCAAAAUGGUAGAGCGCAUACUGUUGACCAAGGAGUAUAUUUCUCCCGUUCUUGUAAGCUUGUCCAAGGCGCCGGAGCCCCUGACAGCAGACGAUCUUGCGGUCUUGGAGGAUAUAAAGUACUUACUGGCUCCUUUCGAUGAAGUUACAACUCAAUUAUCUUCGAGUACAAAAGUUACUGUAUCAUGCGUAAUACCCACAUCGAAUGGACUUGUGCAGAGUUUGUACGAAAAAAGAGAGCAGUUAAGAACAAAAGAAGGCGAAGAACUGUGCGCACUUUUAAUUGAGAAGUGUAAGAAACGACUGUUUCCCUUUGAAGAAAGGUCCUCCCCUCGUUUGGCUACAAUUUUAGACCCUCGGUUUAAGAAAGAGGGUUUCAGGUCCCACUUUAAUGCGGAGCAAGCCGUAUCUAUACUUGAAAAAAACAUUUCUUCUCCCCAUACCAACAAGGAACCCAUUUUAACCACCGAACCACCGGAACCACCAAAGCCGAACUCUUCGCUACUCAAUUUUGUAAAAAAAAAUAUAGAAUUGAAACAGAGGUCCAACAAAGUUGAGUCCAUAAUACAGAUAAGGCAGUAUUUCGAGAAAAUGAACAUUGAUGAAAAUCAGGACCCAUUGGAGUAUUGGAAGCAACAUGAAUUAGAGAUGCCCCAACUGGCUAUAAGCGCUAAGCAGGGGCUCUGCAUUCCGGCAACCUCGACGGAAUCGAAAAGGAUGUUUUCCAAGGCGGGCCUAACAAUCUCUGAUCGACGGGCGUCACUGAAGCCAAAAACCGUUAACAAAAUGUUAUUUGUUAACAAAAAUUGGGUUUUAACCAAAGAAAUGUGAUUUAAUUUCUCCUUCCAAAUAUGUACUAAAAAAGAUCAAACUUGAAUUUAAACUA